GGGAGGGUAAAGCUGCCUGGUCCUGGAGAGGGGGGCUGUGUGUGUGAUGCUGGGGCUCCCUCCUCUAUAUGCAGCCACACCAGCAGUGCCCGUGGAAAGGGUGGCUGUGCCUGGAGUCUGGCAGAAAGGCUGGGGCCCAAGAGGAGUCCUUGCAGGAGAAAUCUCUCCUUCUGCCCUAGAUUGGAGGCUGCAGAAAGUCAUUUGGACCAAGUGGGGGCAGGAUGCCGAGGGCAGAGGAGCUGGCUCCCGUUGGUCCCCUUUCUUUCCUCAUCUCCCUUCCCUCUGAACCCCAGUCCAGGGCCCAGGAGGGCUUGGCAGCCUGUUCCUGGCCUCCCCAGCAGAGGGCUCCAGAGCAGAGCUCAGGAUGGCCAUGGGGAGGGAGCAGCAGAAAGCAUGGACAGUCCGCCCUGCUCACAGGUGUCCAGGUCACAGGUGCUCUUUACUGGUGCACAGGUGUGUCUGUCUAUGUGUGCACCCAUGUGGGUGUGUGCAAGUGUGUACAGUAGACGUAUGUUGUUGUGUGGGCAUGUGCAUGUCGGCACGCGGGCACGACUGCCUGCUUGUGUGUUGGGUGGUAUCUAUUCACAUGUGUUUGCUCAUUUUCUCUUUGCACACGCCAGCACUACUGUGGUCCUUGUGCAUAGUUGUGUGCAUGCGGGUGUCUGUAUGCUUUGUGCAUGGAUGUCUCUGGUUGGCCUUGUGCGGAGAAAGCUGAAAAAUUACUGACAAGGUGUGCUGUGGAAUCUCAUCAUUCUCGAGGACAAGGAUGAGGGACCCCCUGCUCCCUCUGUGCCAUCUGACAUUCACACCCUGACCCAGCCGCCUGACUCCUGCCCUCAAUCAGCACAGCCCCUGAAUUUGUUUGUUAAAACCUCAUUUACAGCAGGUGUAGUUGACAUCCAGUUCCCAGGAAGCAAGUACUUCCAGAGCUGUGUGUGUGUAUGUUCUGGUUCCCUCAUUUGCAGCUCGAAAAUGUUUCUUUUCCAGCAUUUCCAUUGUGGCUCAGAGAGUUAAGAACCCAACUAGUAUCCAUGAAGAUGUGAGUUCGAUCCCUGCCCUUGCUCAUUGGGUUAAGGAUCCGGUGUUGCUACAAGCUGCAGCAUAGAUCACAGAGGAAGCUCGGAUCUGGCUUUGCUGUGACCGUGCUAUAGGCCAGCAGCUGCAGCUUCCAUUCAGCCCCUAGCCUGGGAACCUCCAUAUGGUGCAGGGCAGCCCCUGGGGCAUAUGGACGUGCCCAGGUUACUGGUUGAAUCAGAGCUAUAGCUGCUGGCCUACACCAUAACCAUAGCAACGUGGGAUCCGAGCUGCCUCUGUGGCAUACACCGCAGCUUGUGGCCACGCAGGAUCCUUAACCUGCUGAGCAAGGCGCAGGGAUGGAACCUGUGUCCUCAUGGAUACUAUUUGGGCUUUUAACCCUCUGUGCCACAACGGGAACUCCCCCUUUGGAUAUUCUUGAUCCUCCUGCGGUUUCACUGAGGCACCAGUGGGACCCUCACUCCUGCCGAGUAGCCAGGUCCUGACGUCUCGUCUGGCGGAUUGAGCCCCAGGAACCAGGGUGCGCUGGCUGCCUAAAGGGCCUUUCCUUUCUGCCUGCCUUCCCGGCAGCCCCUGGCCAGGCACCAGCUAUGACCUCAGCCCACACUGACCCUUCGGUUCCCCCCUCACCCCCUCCCAGCCUGCUCCAGAUCCAGCCUCCGGCCCUGUCCAUGCUCCCAGAACACCCCGCGUGACUCGGUUCCUGUUCUGUCACGGCCCCUACUCCCUGCCCCAGAGGCACCCUGGGCUCCAGGCUGCCCACCCGCCACCCAGCCCUCUCCACACGUGUGAAAACCACACGCAUGGGCGCUCUGCAGCUCCCCGCAGGAAAGCCCAGCCGCAAGACCCAGAGCAGAGGAGAGGGGACACACACAAGCGUGCAGGCCAGUGCCAGGGUUUGGGGAUGGGGGGCGGGGAUCCAAUGGAACGACGGGCCUCCCGGAUGCUGUAUCAAGCCAAACUCCCCAGCAGAGUCAGCACCACAUCUGGAAUUAAGCUGGAAAUUCCAAUUGCUCUCUGCUGCUAAAAAAAAAAUGUGUCAAAUCUUCCCAGAGAUUUUGUGGAAGUGGGAAGCGCUGCGGGGCGGUGGAGGGGAGGGGGGAGCGCUCCCUCCACAGGACCCGUGAGCUUUGGGGAAAUCCAGAUGUCACAAUGUGUCCACAGCCCUCUGGCUGAUGGCUCCCCCAGCCUCCCUCAUCUGUGCUCCCUGCCCCGUGAAAAUUAAAGACGCCUGGAGCAGGGGAGGGGCUGUUUCGCUUCUCCCAAGGACCCACACGUCCGUUCAUGUAAGUGCAUGUGAGACUGUGACUUUUUUUGAUAGGGAUUGAGUUAUUUUUUCCUGGAGAGGAAAACGUUGACAUGCCUUUGGUGGAUCGUCCGCCCAGAAAUUUCCAAUGCAUGAAGAAGCUGUGCUCUUCCCUUUGCUCUAACACACACACACACACACACACACACACACACACACACACACACGCACACACCUUCCAAAGGCCCAGAACUCACUGUGUGGUCUGAGCCCCUUCAGGGCCUCGCUGCACUGCUAGCCCAGCCCCAACCAGUGCAGGAUGGGGAUUCCAUAGAGCUGGGUCUGCAGGGCCAGGGAAGCUUGGACCACUUGCUUGUUCUCAAUCUCUAGGCAAGUGGAUGAAUUUCCUGUUACUGCUGUAACAAAUCACCACAAGCUGAGUGACUUCAACAACACAAAUAUAUUCUCUUACAAUUCUGGAAGUCGGAAGUCCAAAAUCAGCCUCGCUGGGCUAACGUCAAAGCAUCUCCAGGGGAAAAUCCAUUUCCUUGUCUUUUUUCACAUCUAGAGGCUACCUCUAUUCCUUGGCUUAUGGCCCCUCCCUUCUAUAGCAAGCAUCCUUCUCGGGUCCUUAGCCAGAACAUCAGAGGGUCUCUCUCCCCAAGCCUCUUCCCGUUCUGAUACUAACAUCCUAGGUCUCUGGGACCUUGGGGGAAAUGGGCCCGGCCCCUCCCCUCUCUCCUCUUUGCUGAGUCUCUGGGGCUCGUAUUGUCUCUUUUUGUCCUCUUCCUCCAGCCCAGGAGUCUGACAUCCCAGGCUGGGGCUUUUGCCCCUCAGUUUCAUUCUCAACAAGUGAAGAAUUCAUCCCAGCCCCAACUUAGUUUAGGAUCUGAAUUAUACUUUUCUCCAAGGCAGGGCUCUCGACUGCCCAGCUGUCAUGCGGGGGCCAAGGAUCCUGAUCCCGAUUCAAGGAUGUUGGGUGGGUAUCCAAGACGUCCAAAUGGAGGGGCAGGGAUGCGGGUACCCUUCCUGGCAGUGGUCCUUACCAGCCUGACCUCCCAGAGCUCAGGCCACCCGGUCACAGCGUGACAUUGAAAGUCCCUCGCCAGGGAGAGAGGGAUGAGGCUGACCCAGCCUGGGUAGUCCCAUGGGACCCAAUAGUACAGACUGGUGUCCUUGGUGGCCUCCCGAGUAAAGAGCCUCUUUGAGCCAGACCUUCCUUCUUCCUUUUCUUUCUUCCUUUCCCUCCCUUCCUUUUUGUCUGACCCAGUGCCUGGUCCUUUGUCAGGCACAGGAUAAGAGCUGGAAGGGCUCGGUCCCCCAGCCUGUGAGAAGCACUGCCCAUAGCCCCUCCCAAGCAGUGAGAGUUCCCAAGUGUGGAAGCCAAAUGGGGCUGCCCGAGGUGCCAGGAGGGCUUCCUGGGGCUGGUGGUGCUGCAUUUUCCACCCUCAAACACACUAAAACACUGAGCCACCCGCACACGCCAUGUGAGGGGAGGCAGCCACGCUUCGGCUCGUGCUCUUCCCACUGCUCGACAUCUUUCCACUUGCCUCUCCUGGAUAGCUCUGGCUCAGGUGCCACCUCUUCCAGGAAGCCUUCCCUGAAGUCUGGGGAGGUUGAAUCUCCUCCUUGAUUCUCCUAGCGCCCCACAGAGAGGCUCCUCGUGUCCAAGCCAGAAACUGAUUUUAUGCUGCAGUCAAGAGAAAGCCUCGGCCUUGGAGGGGCCUAGAGUGGGAGGGGGACAGUGUCUGGUGAAAUGGCACUGGGCUCUGCUGAGCCUGCUUUUUUUUGAGCCGAUGGGCCCUUACAGAUCCCCCAGUCCAUCGUCCUUUCCGGAUAGUGGUGCUGGGACCAGAAAACCCUUCUCCUGGUUUUAGCCCUCUGUCCUUCCCAUGACCCAUCCCAUCUUGAUGGGGGCUGUGUCCUGACCACCUCAGUGUCCGUGAGUGCUUGGUGAACCAACAUGCGGGGGUGCUCAUGGGGGAACUGAACCCGCCAGAGACAAGUGUUUCGGAGGCACAUGGCAUUGAUGUCACCAUUUGGUCACAUGCUGUCCUAACUCUCAAAGUGGAGCCUAGGUUUCACAUUAUCCCUUUAUGGCAGAGAUGCUAAGAGAAAGAUGGGUCUGAAUCCAGCUUGGCCUCUUCUGAGCUAUGUGACCUCUUUGAGCUCCCACAUCCUCAUCAGCAAAACGGGGACCCGCGCUGGACAGACCUUUGUUUUGAUGAUUAAAUAAGAUGACAUAUGCCAAGUUCCCAUUGUGGCACAGCGGAAAUGAAGCUGACUAGUGACCAUGGGGUUGCAGGUUUGAUCCCUGGCCUUGCUCAGUGGGUUGAGGAUCUGGCGUUGCCGUGAGCUUUGAUGUAGGUUGCAGACGCGGCUAGGAGCCAGUGUGGCUGUGGCUAUGGUGUAGGCCUGCAGCUGUAGCUCUGAUUCGACUCCUAGCCUUGGAACUUCAUGUGCCAAGGGUAUGGCUGGCCCUAAAAAGCAGUAAAUAAAUAAAUAAGAUAACGUAUGAGAAGUCAGCAAUUCUCUGGCACAUAGAUAUGCAUCCGAAUAGUGGCUAAAUAUUCUCCUUCUUCACAAUUUCAUUCUAGGGGCUCAACCUUCUGGAAUCAGGAAAAUUGUCUGAUUAAGUGGAUUCAUGCUGAUUCCAGCCUCAGCUCUAUGCAAAGGGAUUCUGAUUCCCUAAGUCUGGGAAGAGUUCCCAAACUCAUUAUUUUAUUUGUCUUUAUUUUUAAAUAAACAUCCUGGGUGAUCCUGAUGCUUAGCCAGGUUUGGAAGCCACUGGAAUAAGUGAUGAUGGGGUUUUAUGUUCAUAAAGACCAACUUGUGUCCUCAAAAGUAGGGUUUUAGCUUAGAGGUACCUUCCCACGGCCCCUGGAACCACAGCAGGUGGGACCCUCUCUCUCCCCAUGGGGGGAGGGGGUGGCAUCCCUCCAGAGCAGCCCCGCAGGAAGGGAUGGGGGCCGCACCAGCUGUGUCCCCUCCUGCAGCUGUUUCAGUGCCAUAGCCCCGUGGAAACCACUGUGAAAUUCAUUCUCCACAUCUCCCGAAGUUGGGCCAGGUGGCUACUGGCUGGGGCGGCUGAUCCCACCCGACAAGAGGCCUGCGAGCCAGGGAAAUACAGCCACCCUCCUCCACUCAGCACAGGGCCCCCCGUUCCACCCUCCCGGGCCAGUAAGUGCUUUUUGUCCCAGAUCAACUCAAAUCCUCCCCCGGGAAAACUUUUCUUUCCUCAGGAAGCACCCAGCUCUUGCCUUGCUGCAGGUUCUCUCAGGGCUGUCUGGCUCUGGAACCUGGUCAGGACUGGAUCCCGCCUCCCAGGGACCCCUGAGGCCUGGGGCUGAGCUGGCUGCUCUGGGAAAAUGCAAGUGGAGGAGGCGGGAAGCUGCAGAUUCCACUCAUCCGCCCGAGAAUGGCAGCGGGCCGGAGCUCUCCCUGCAGCAGGGAGCUGAGCUUUUUAUGAGCUGCACGGAGCUACAGAAGCAGGGAUUUGGCUGAGGAAGAAGGGAAAGGCCCAGAAUGAGAGCACUGUCCUCCGUCAAGGACACAGGACUGUUGACGUGGGAGAGAUGGGCGCAGCCUCUGGAUCAAGUCCACGGGGAGGAGGAAAUGGUUUUCACUGAAAAACAAAGUUGAAAAACAGUUUACUGAAGGGACAAGAAGGAGGAAAGGGGGUGGGGAACCACCUCAAACUGUCUGAUCAUCAAAAUCACCUAGUCA
rnacentral:lncRNA from 1 species